UAACUAAUACUGUGGUGGCUAUGGUC
rnacentral:piRNA from 1 species